UACGUAGGGAGCAAGCGUUGUCCGGAUUUACUGGGUAUAAAGGGUGCGUAGGCGGCUUUGCAAGUCAGAAGUGAAAUCCAUGGGCUUAACCCAUGAACUGCUUUUGAAACUGCAGAGCUUGAGUGGAGUAGAGGUAGGCGGAAUUCCCGGUGUAGCGGUGAAAUGCGUAGAGAUCGGGAGGAACACCAGUGGCGAAGGCGGCCUACUGGGCUCUAACUGACGCUGAGGCACGAAAGCGUGGGUAGCAAACAGG
rnacentral:rRNA from 1 species